AUCCGGAAGCUGCUGCACCGCGCGCGCGCUCACUGAGAUCCGAGGUUUGGAAGAAAAACGGAAAACCCAGUGGAACACCAAUGCUGACGGUGACGGCCGACGCCAGGAUAGCGACCACGGGCUCGAAGCUAGGGCAACCCGGCUCUUGUCCCAAGAAAGGAAUCCGCUCCCCGCUGCCCUCCACGGUGGCUGCACGCUGAUCCCCAACUUUUCCAGGAGAAUUGGUUUGAUGGAGCAAAGGGACUCGGCGCAGCUCGGUACAUGAAGGAAACAAUGCGACCAGUAUGCAGACAGCACGGAUCGUACUGGAAGUUUGACACAGCACCAGAGAACUCACACAGGAGAGAAACCAUUCAAGUGCACUGUGUGUAACAAGGCAUAUGCACGGUCAUCAACUCUUCAG